UAUCAGUCCUUGAAUUGAAGACAAAUUUACAUGUGAGUUGGUAUUCACAGGGUGUAUAGAUGGAGGCUCAAUAAUAGCCUCAAUCGUUUUCUCUAUGGUUUCAAUUUCUUCAGGUCAUCCAAUAUCAAGGUCUGCAAAAUUAUAUAAUUGCGAAGCUCUCAUUUGCUUGUCUUGCAAUGGUGGAAGUGAACCACAGAGUAGCCUGCACUGCUCCAAAUUCUAGCUGAGUAUAACUUAUUCUUAAGAUUAAGAAUAUGUGGUUGGAUCUAAUUUAACCUUUU
rnacentral:lncRNA from 1 species